rnacentral:rRNA from 1 species
UACGAAGGGUGCAAGCGUUACUCGGAAUUACUGGGCGUAAAGCGUGCGUAGGCGGUUAGUUAAGUCUGAUGUGAAAGCCCUGGGCUCAACCUGGGAACUGCAUUGGAAACUGGCUUACUAGAGUGCGGUAGAGGGGUGUGGAAUUCCCGGUGUAGCAGUGAAAUGCGUAGAUAUCGGGAGGAACAUCUGUGGCGAAGGCGACACCCUGGACCAGCACUGACACUGAGGCACGAAAGCGUGGGGAGCAAACAGG